CUUGAAUGUCAACUGCAAGGCCUGGAUGAGGAUGCAAGCGCCACUGCUUGUGCCCACACCUUCAGCCGAGCCUUAACAUCCCUUGGAUCAUCACCUAAAAUUACAGAGGAAAAAUUCCCAUCAGACGUACUGAAAAUAUAGGGGAUUGGAAGGA